GAACACAACAUCCAUGGCAGCUUUCCCAGUCAUCUCCCAUAAAUCCAAGGAGCGGAGGAGAGAGGUGGGGAAGGGUGGAUCCGUGGAGCGGAGGAGUAGCCAAUCGUGCGCAAGCGAGGCCGAUCCCACGGGGCGAUUCAUCCGGGUAUGAGUGAAGCCGAGGCCGACGGCAUCGAAGUCACCGUGGAGCUUGGGUGCUCAUGCGGCAGUGGCAGCCAGGUGCAUGUGCGGCGUUGACAACUAAGGCGACGGGUUCAGCCAUGGUAUGCGGAUGUGGAGCCAGCUAAGUUGUGCGGCGGUUGCGUCGAUUUAGGCGUGGGAGGCGGCGGAGUGGCGUUGGAGCCGGCCGGCCAGACUCACAAUCGAUGGAGAGGGUGGUGCGGUCGAGAGCGGGAGGCUGUGACAGUGGGGCGUGGCGGAGGUGGUGCCGUGCGGCCGGACGGGAUCAUCCUGGUCGAACAGGUCGCUGCCCCCAGGCUGCUCACCGGACUCCAAUUCCCACCGCUCUCAAGCUCUAGAUCGAGCUUCGUCUGGACCCAUCUAUUUGUGCGAUACUGCGUUUCCUCUGGUGGCCAUCUGUUCCGCUCAGCGUUUCCUCUGAAUUUGAGAGGAGAAGGCCUUGAGGAGGUUCAUGCAACCAUGGACUGUUUAGAUGAGAUUAGUUGAGAGAAAAGGAAAAUUGCCCAUGCUGCCAUGUGUGAGUCUGAGGUGAGUGAGUUCCCUGGUCCCCCGGUUGUCACAACAUUGGCCACCACUCUAUGCACAGCUGUGCCACCAAAAUCAGAUUUCAUGUAGAUAACAAGCCCUGUGGAAUCGUUUAUAUCCAGACCAACGAUGACCAACGAUGCCGUAACAGAAGAUUUUAUAUCCAGACUGUACCCCAUAGUGGGAAUUUUCAAUAGGAUAUACCAUCUCGAUGCUCAUGGUUUCUUCAGCAUAUAUAGUCUCUACUAUGUACUCUCUGUGCAACCAAGUUAAUUGUGCAAGAGCCAUUAAAUAUAUAUUUAGGCUUGCAUAUAAAUAAUUCUUUUUUAACUGUUGUUUGGUGAUUGUGUCUCUUGCACACAAUUUCUAGAAGAUUUGAACGUAUGGUAACAUUACACGAAUAAUCCAAGUUCCUUUUACUAUUCUGCGUGUAGUAGACUAUCCUGCCUUUUUGUAAUUACAUAAUUACUAAUUAAGUUCAUGUUGACUAGGGACCAAUUCCGGAUGCUUGCAAAUUGUUAGAAUUUGGUCGCCCUUUAUUUUGUCCAGCAUUUGUUAUGUCCUGUAGCUUUCAUAUAGCUUUCUGGCUAUAAACUACAUACACAUAGCCGUAAAUUAUUUAUUUAGAUUAAUCUUUUAAUGUUGUAUAUACAUUGUUGGCAUAAAUUGAUGCCCAAUCUUGUGGCUGAUUUGCCGCAGAAAGAGUGGUCCUAAAUCCGAAAUUCCUUGAUGAACUUAGAGCAAUCCGUUGCGACACAACCUUGGAUGAGUUAUUUUUUGAUCAAAUUAUGAUUUUUGAGAGCAUUAUAUAAAUUAUAAAUAGCUAAUCUGAGCUAUUCAUAGUUGGGUAGGUUUCUAUCAAUCAUUAUUUGUCUUCUCCACUGUAAAAAAUAUUUCUCUUCUCGGUUAUGUUGAGGUUAAUGCAGCUGCUGGUCAUACUUUAUCAAUAUAGGCGGAUGAAGCAGAUUAUGAAGAAAAUGAACCUCAAGAUGGUUUCUCAGUAUGAGAAUAUGAUUAAACAUUCUCUCCAAGAAUGAAGGCAAAUUGUUUGCAUGUCAUUAACCCUUUCCUGUGAAGAUUCAGAUUCACAAAGGAUAAUAUUCAGGUAUGUGUAUGUCUGCUCGAACGCAAUCACAUUCCAGAACAUCGACUCGCUGGAGUCGUUGAGCUCCAGCCGUGGGAUCUCCAGCAUGCCGUAGGCAAAGCACAAGUCUAGGAAUCUCAUCACCAUCUCUCUUGACUUUCACUGACCGGUGUUCUAGCUAUUUUGUAAGUACUAGGCCGGCAGGCUUCAUGUUCAGGAAUUUGACACAAAUGGUGGAGAUUUAAUGGAGAGAGACCAUGGCUAAUUACCUUUUCUUGGGGAAUCAUGAUUAAUUACCGACAAGUGCAAUUACUGGCUACUGCAUUCUAUUAGUCAUACAUAGAGCCACGCUGAGAAAAUUCUAUUUCGAGGAAUAAGUAGGCACAAGUAGUCUGCAAAACACAAAACAACGGGAAAUGUCAUGUUCAGCAGCGACAACACCAUUGCUCUUCAUUUUUUUUAGUUCGAUCUAUAAUUCUCUAUUAAUCAGAAUGAUUAUUCAAAGAUUGGUGGUUGUUAGGUACCUGAAGUUAAUGUGAAAGGAAUGAGCACGAGUGAUCUUCUCAUUUCCUUUCACAAAUUAGUCACAAGUUAAAUGCAGCGUAUGUGCAUUUGCCAAGAUUGUUGAUGUUAAUUUUCUCCUUAUUGGCAGAGAGAAAUGUGUUUAAAGUGAAUUCUUUCCUUUCACAAAUUAGUGACAAGUUAAAUCACAAGGAUUGUUCUAUCCCGUCUCAGAGAAAUGUGUUCAAAGUGAAUUUUUCUCAGGGCUGAGACUUAUUUAUUAACUUAUAUAAGCCCUUCAGCUGAUCAUUUCAAUGGCUGCAACGUAGAAGCUUUAUGAGAUUUGCCAAGUUUUAUUAUCUAAAGAAAGGUCAUCAUCUCCUGAAGCUGUAAAAAUGUUUUUCUUUGGGUAAGAACAACAUGGAGAGUUGACAGUAACCAAAAUAAGUCCCUUUCUAUUUAUUACCACAUAUUAUAUUAAUUAUGGUCAUGGGAUGUGUUUCUGUACUACUUGGAGAAAAAACACAAACAACUGAUAUAAAGUGCCUUACUAUAAUUAGAUUAUAUUUCGUUAUUGAAUGUGUUCCUAUGCUAUCCUGAAUAAAUAGAAAUUUCAGAUACAAUGACCUGGGUAUGUGAGCCGCAUUGUUCUCAUUUGAACGUCCCCUUCGGGAUAUAAACUUAAACACUUUUUCAUAGCAACGCACACACAAUGACGAUGCCAUCGGCCGACCCGCCUGACUGGACUAAUGCGAUGAGGGAGGAUGCCAUAGAUUGGAUGCUCACGUAGCUGGGCCUCGGCAAGGACACCUGCCUCACACCACCGCGCAUUCAUGUUCUCCCAUAGGCCGAAUUGUUGGGCAGAUGGGUAGUAGGAGGCCAUGGGUCGCAUUGGGUCUGACCGAUUCCUUGAGGACCUUCUUGAGACUGCCAUGCUCUACGGUCGUGUGGACAGUCGGGCUUCAUUGCGAGGCUAGGAUGGAUCAUUGGUAGGGCAAAAAGGGUGUCAACCCAGACACGGUUGUCUUCCCGUUGCAAUGCACGGGUCAUUUUCCUAGUCCUGGUAAUAAUAAAGCACAGAUUGAUUUCGUUGGGUUCACCGUCGUGGCUUUUUUCAUAAAAGUUCCUACUGUUUUUGGUAAUUAACCCGCGGUACUAAUUUAAGUGGUCUGCGGUGAAAAAACGUUUCGUUCGUGGGCUGACGCACGGGCUCUCCUCCCCCCGCGCAGCGCCCCCGAGCUCCAGAUCGGGAGGGGAGCUCCCGAUCCAGAGCCCCUCGCCGCCCCGCUGCCUUCGCGCUCGGCCUCGCCACCGGCCGCUGCGCCGCCGUCGACCAUAGCCGGACCUCCACGUCUCGCGCCCCUUCUUAUGGUGCAGCCAUGGCCACCGGCCGCUGCGCCGCCCACCACGACGAGCUGCUCAACACUCUCCUCGCCGCCGCGGGCAACGGCCGGGAGGAGGAGGAGGACGCGCGGGAGGCACGGCAGCGUCAGAAUCAACGCGUCGAAUCCGGCCUCGGCUUACGGCAACACGGACGUGGAUGCUCUGGCUGCGACCGCCGUGCUCUAUGCCCCGACCCUGCUCGCCGAGUCCGUCCGACCUGGUGAUCUCGCCGGCCAGCGACGGGAGGAGGGUGGCAAGCUGAGCCGGAGGAGAGCGAGGCGUCCACGUUACUUUAAGUGCAAAGCAGAGAAACACACACACACACACACACACACACUCAGGCACGAGCACAAGCUCUCCUCGCCUAUGGUCACGGCGCCGCCGCCGCCAUGCGUGGCCGCGCGGAGCGGAGGCCGUGAUGGCAAGGCAGCCCUUUGGAGGCGCUCCUCCCUGACCAGGCCCAACCCCCGCUCCACCAGCUCGACCUCCUAUUUCCUUCCCAAUGCCGGGCACUGCCCGCUCUCCUCUCUGAUUUCCGGCAUGGAAAACCCUCUUCUCCGACUUUCGGCCUCUCCCAACCUCUGACCGGUGCUGCGGGACAUAUACAACAUCUGCCCUCCAUGCCAUUGCAACUUCCAGCCUCGACGUCCAUCGCCUUCUCUAGAUCCAGCGGCCAUCUGCACGGCUGCACGCCAACUGUUCGGUCAAUUGACCCAACAGACACGAGCCUAGAGAAUGGAGAGAAAGAGGAGAAGUUGUCUUCAGCACCAUACUGAACUAUUGAAGCAACAGGAAGAUGAGUGUAUCGUGCAAGAGGAGAUCCUGGCCGCCGUCCUGUGCCUCGGCGACCAGUACGACCAUGUCCUCACGUGCCUCCUGCUGGUUGAUCCGGUGCCAGCAACUGUCAUCUUCCCAAAAUUUAACUGGACAUUUGAAUGUUCUUAUUUUUUUCUUCUGAAAUGAACAUAGCUGUGAGUUUUUUUAUGGUGAAAUCAAGUUCUGACAGAAUUUACAAUAUACUUUGUAUUGUUGUUUUUUAGGUCUUACGCACCUCAUGUACCCAGGGCCAUCCACACCCAUUUUGACCGUUCAUUAGAUGUUUAUCGGCUAGCAGGGGAGGCCAUGAACAAUCUUUUAAAAAACCCAGGUGCAAGUGCUGAGUUACAACACGACAUCGACGACGCAAAAGCCAGUAUGUUUGAGCUAAGGGAACGAUCUAGGGACAGUACCACCCGGCUACCCCAGCACUUAAGCUGACUGUCCAAUUCCACUUUCAUCCAUGGAGGCUGCGGUUUAAUCCUCAGGUUUGGCAACCUUUUCUCUCUACGGCUGAGUGUUGUAGUCCUGUCAAAUGAAGCAGUGUUGUUUUUGCAAUAUAGAACAAAUAUAUAAGGUGCUUCCAAUUUCUUAAUCCCAGAAUUGACGAGACCUUAUUUAGUUUGGACUCAUAACAAUGUGUCAAUUAUAAAUAGAGCAUUGUCAUUUUCACGACGGAUGGACGUAUAUCAUAUGUUCUCUUGCGUUGUAUUUUGGUGAGAAAAAAGGAGAAAUAUGAGAGGAACAGAGAGAGCAGAGAGAGAGGCACACAUCACUGAACCCUUUUGGAUUCUAAUGCAAGGUUGGAUAAUAUGAAGUUUUUUGGCUUAUCGUUGCGCCUCACGUUUCCGACCUCGCGUGGCUGUACACUUCUCGUACUCGACUGUUCGCCGGAACUUUGUCUGACCUGAGGUACAUACUGCAGUGUCAUCAAUUUGCAUCUGUCAUCAAAGACUACUUUUGUCUAUCAUUUAAAUUGCCACGAGUAUUUGAAAUUCAUUCUUCUUACUUUUUCAGAUAAUAUAGUAUAUACUACUUUUGUUCAAGUAUAUACUACUUUUUAUCACUUUUACUUUUUCUCACCGGAUGCAUGCAUGCUUCUCCUCACAGGUUUCCCUUGGUUCAGUACUUAAUUUUUUUGGUGUAUACUUUCUCCUCAGCAGUGAAGUAUAUGUACGACAAGACAGAAAGAAACAUAUACUGUUGAUCGAUACUGAAACACACCAUACAGAAAGGCCCUCUCUUCUAUACCCCUUUGCGAAAAAUAGUAUACUAUCAUUUGAAAAGAAAACACACCAUACACUCCUUUGUGACAAUGAGUAUACACUGAUCGUUAUUGCCAGUAUCAUAGGCAUAUACUCUGAGAAUAGUUGUAUAUAUCCCAUUUGAAAAAAUAGUAUGUAUAUACUCCUUGCAAACUACUCCAUAUCGUUUAAUUGUUUUUAGAUAAGACUAUCCGUCGAGAUACAAUAACUAAUUAGUAUUUUAAUAACUUGAAUUGCAUGGCUUGAUCGCUCUGCUUGGGUCUUCUCUUAUGUGUGAGUGCACCAUGUGCGGGUUAAUUUUUUUGGGUCUUCUAACUCUCUGGGAUAAUUUGCAUCUCUAUUUGUGCUAAUUGGCAAGGUGCAUGAAUAAUGAUUUAUCUAAGGUUUUUUGCUUAACGGAAAGGCCUUUUCAGUUAAAAAAACCCUACUGAUUUGAUCAACAGAAUAUGCCUCUGUUUUUAAAUAGCAGUAGUUCCUCACAACUUCUACUUAUUUAAUUGACUAUUUCGGUGUCAAGAUCCAAUAGCCUUGCUGUUAGUUAAUGCUAUUUAUAUUUUGUUCCAACAAAAUGUUUACGGCCAAAAAACUCGUCAUUUCCAGCAAAAACAAUGGCUCGCUCCUGCCAGGUCGCAGCAAAAGUUUUGGCUGGUCCCAUAAAAAAUAGUUCCAGCAAAAAAGAUUGUUGUCCUGGUCAUAGAGCAAUGCUUGGUGCAGCUAGCUGCAGGAAGGACCAACUUGACUUGAUGGGGAUACAAUCACCAAGAAAGAUUCAUACCUGAACUUACCUUUAUGCAUUGCACGAACUACCAAGAUAUUGUAUCUCCCUAUAUGAUCCAUAACUCAUACACACAUGAGUAGCGAUGGGAUACUAUUUGGAUUGAGUGAUCUAGAAUGUAAGCUUACCUCGGUGGUUCAGAUUAUCACUAUUAGUCUUCUGGUCGUGGCAAUUUUUUAGACUUCUGGUGUAAAGCUAUGAAGGGAUUUGCUUGGAAACAAUACUGAAAGGAUACCUUAACUUCAUUUUAUCCCCUAGAUUAGUAUAAGUAUAUUAAGUCCCCGUUUAUUUAGAUGUAUAGCUUGCAUGACAGUUUUGUUUAAACCGAUUUUUGGGGCAUUUAGCAAUUCUCACAUAUGUUGUUACUCAUGCACUUGCUUUUGAAGAUAUCAUUUCCAAUGUCAAUGUUUACAAAAUUGUUAAUCUUUUUUUUUAUCGGAGUUCAGCCAUGUUUUCCACCAAGGAUUCAACUCGGAAGCAUCUGAUUCUUAUCUUGUCCGAUUCACUCUGCAUGUUAAUUCACAACUUGCAAGGUAAUUAUAUAUUUAAAUUAACCAUUUUUUAUAAUGACAAUGAACAUGUCAUUUCUAAGCACUGGCAUGCACUUUUUAUUUCAUGUCGAUAACACGGUGAUGCUUCGCGAAAUGUUUGAACAGGGUAGAUAGCCAUUCAACUAGGGUGAGCUGAUUUUUCCCCGUUGCAAUGCACGGGCACUUUUGCUAGAAGUAGAGGCAUUUAUUAAAUGAAGCAAAGUCGCACUGUCUUUAUCAUGCCAAUAGGCAAUUGUGCCUACAAAUUAGACAAUAGGGGAGAUUUAGCAAGUCACCGGCUCUGAAAGCAUAAAAAAUAAUUCAGUAUAUAGGCGACUACUCAAUUUUGAAGAGGUACUUCUUCCAAAAAGAUAGUACGUGAGCCUUUUCUAAGCUGUAGGAUAUCAUAGUCUGCUCUGCUAGCUGUAAAUUGUAAGAUAGGUGGCUGCAUGUCUCAUAUUCCUGCUA